UACGUAGGGCGCAAGCGUUAUCCGGAAUUAUUGGGCGUAAAGAGCUCGUAGGCGGUUUGUCGCGUCUGCCGUGAAAGUCCGGGGCUCAACUCCGGAUCUGCGGUGGGUACGGGCAGACUAGAGUGAUGUAGGGGAGACUGGAAUUCCUGGUGUAGCGGUGAAAUGCGCAGAUAUCAGGAGGAACACCGGUGGUGCAGACGGCUCUCUGGACCGUAACUGACGCUGAGACACGAAAGCGUGGGUAGCAAACAGG
rnacentral:rRNA from 1 species